rnacentral:rRNA from 1 species
UUGAGCAAUUUAGCUGAUCGCACGGUCUAAGCACCGGCGACAUAUCCUUCAAACGUCUGCCUUAUCAACUGUCGAUGGUAGAUUAUGCGCCUACCAUGGUUGUAACGGGUAACGGAGAAUCAGGGUUUGAUUCCGGAGAGGGAGCCUGAAAAACGGCUACCACAUCCAAGGAAGGCAGCAGGCACGCAAAUUACCCACUCCCGGCACGGGGAGGUAGUGACGAAAAAUAACAAGCUGGUCUCUAUGAGUUCUGGCAUUGUAAUGGGAACAAUCUAAAUCAUUUAUCGAGGAUCUAUUGGAGGGCAAGUCUGGUGCCAGCAGCCGCGGUAAUUCCAGCUCCAAUAGCGUAUAUUAAAGUUGUUGCGGUUAAAAAG